rnacentral:miRNA from 1 species
UGAGAUCAUAUUAGACCCAUCU